GACGAACGCUGGCGGCGUGCCUAAUACAUGCAAGUCGAGCGAAUGGAAGGGAGCUUGCUCCCUGAAGUUAGCGGCGGACGGGUGAGUAACACGUGGGCAACCUGCCUGUAAGACUGGGAUAACUUCGGGAAACCGGAGCUAAUACCGGAUACGUUCUUUCCUCGCAUGAGGAAAGAUGGAAAGAUGGUUUCGGCUAUCACUUACAGAUGGGCCCGCGGCGCAUUAGCUAGUUGGUGGGGUAAUGGCCCUCCAAGGCGACGAUGCGGAGCCGACGUGAGAGGGUGAUCGGCCACACUGGGACUGAGACACGGCCCAGACUCCUGCGGGAGGCAGCAGUAGGGAAUCUUCCGCAAUGGACGAAAGUCUGACGGAGCAACGCCGCGUGAGCGAAGAAGGCCUUCGGGUCGUAAAGCUCUGUUGUCAGGGAAGAACAAGUGCCAGAGUAACUGCUGGCACCUUGACGGUACCUGACCAGAAAGCCACGGCUAACUACGUGCCAGCCGCCGCAGUAA
rnacentral:rRNA from 1 species